GACGAACGGUGCGAACGUUGUUCGGAUUCACUGGGCUUAAAGGGCGCGUAGGCGGGCGGUCAAGUCAGGGGUGAAAUACUUUCGGCUCAACCGGAGAAGUGCCUUUGAUACUGGCCGUCUCGAGGGAGGUAGGGGCAUGCGGAACUUCCGGUGGAGCGGUGGAAAGUGACGUAGAUAUCGGAAGGAACGCCGGUGGCGAAAGCGGCGUGCGUGGACCUCUUCUGACGCUGAGGCGCGAAAGCCAGGGGAGGCAAACGGGG
rnacentral:rRNA from 1 species